GCAAGUGGGAAUUGUCAUUUUCAUUCUCAUACACUCAUAGUAGGUUAAAGAGAGAGGAGAGAGAGGAGAGAGGGGAUGAAUUCCAGAGCUAGUGGGCGAAGAAGCCGCCAUCUCUGAUAUCUUCCUACCAGUUUGCUGCUUGCUUCUGCUUCAGCUCCUCCAUCUUCUGCUUCAACAGCAGGUUUGGAUAAGAAAAUGACGAUGAGCAAAGGCGAAGUGCCAGACUUGCAAUAGGCCUUAAAAGUGGGUUUGACAUUUUAUUUGUAUGGCUCGUUGAGGUGGUUUUUGCAACCAGGCUUGCAUUAUUGUUCAAGACUAACUACUGUGAUAGUAGAGUGUGGCGAAUUCUCUUAUUUACAUCUAAAUUUGAACAAUUUAUUGUAUCAUAAAGGAAAAAUGAAUAUGAGAUGAUAUUGAAGAAGGCCUAGCAAAGCAUCUGCCUGCUAGCUUGAUUCAAAUACCGCAACCUCAGUUAUUGUUUAGGUGAGGUGUUCUAUAUAUAUGAAAAUCUUUGAGUCUUGAAUAUUUUAGGCAUUACGUCAGCAACUUGAGAUAAUUGUAAAGCAGUACAUAUAGCGUUGAUGCCUUUUACUUCACAUUCACACGCGUAUUUGUUUCGUUGGAAUUAAACUUGCAAUGUACAGAUUUAUGCCAAGGAAAAGUCAAGGCCUUUGGAGCUUGAUAUUCUUUGUUAGAGUUUCUAUUACAAAAUUAGGGAGCUAUCCUGUCCAUUUAUGCUUCCGUUUAGUAAGAUUGGGGUAAUAAAGAUUUCUAAGGUGUUUUCAAAGUUGUUUUGGAGUUGCAUUCAGUUCUCGGAAAACCACAUUAAGAAGCAUUUUGUCAAUUGAUGCCUUAUGGAAAAUUUUCGUUUUUUAAUCCUCCUUUUGUUUUAGUUUCGUGUUAGCACAUGGCAUAUUUUGUUUUGGUUGCUGGUUAUUCGA